AACGAACGCUGGCGGCAUGCCUAACACAUGCAAGUCGAACGAAACCUCCGGGUCUAGUGGCGCACGUGUGCGUAACGCGUGGGAACCUGCCCUUAGGUUCGGAAUAACUGCCCGAAAGGGGUGCUAAUACCGGAUAAUGUCUUCGGACCAAAGAUUUAUCGCCUUUGGAUGGGCGCGCGUUAGAUUCGCUGGUUGGUAGGGUAAAAGCCUACCAAGGCGAGGUUGCAUAGCUGGUCGGAGAGGAGGAUCAGUCAGACUGGGACUGAGACACGGCCCAGAAUCCUACGGGAGGCAGGAGUGGGGAAUAUUGGAGAAGGGGGGAAAGCGUGACACAGCAGUGCCGGGUGAGUGAUGAAGGGCUUAGGGUUGUAAAGCUGUUUUACCCGGGAUGAUAAUGACAGUACCGGGAGAAUAAGCUCCGGCUAACUACGUG
rnacentral:rRNA from 1 species